CCUACGGGAGGCAGCAGUGAGGAAUAUUGGUCAAUGGACGAGAGUCUGAACCAGCGAAGUAGCGUGAAGGAUGACUGCCCUAUGGGUUGUAAACUUCUUUUAUAUGGGAAUAAAACAGGGUAUGCAUACCCUCUUGUAUGUACCAUAUGAAUAAGGCUCGGCUAACUCCGUGCCAGCAGCCGCGGUAAUACGGAGGUUCCGAGCGUUAUCCGGAUUUAUUGGGUUUAAAGGGAGCGUAGGUGGAUUGUUAAGUCAGUUGUGAAAGUUUGCGGCUUAACCGUAAAAUUGCAGUUGAAACUGGAAGUCUUGAGUACAGUAGAGGUGGGCGGAAUUCGUGGUGUAGCGGUGAAAUGCUUAGAUAUUACGAAGAACUCCGAUGGCGAAGGCAGCUCACUGGACUGCAACUGACACUGAUGCUCGAAAGUGUGGGGAUCAAACAGGAUUAGAUACCCUUGUAGUC
rnacentral:rRNA from 1 species